rnacentral:lncRNA from 1 species
CCGUGUCAUUCUUUCGGUCUCUUUGUUGUUUCCAUGGAUGAAUUUGUAAGGAGGUCCUUUGAUUCCUUGCAAAUUCAUUGCAUACUGUAUCCGAAGUGGUGUCCACCAAUACUUGUGUAGGAUUUUGAUCAGAGCCAUGACCAGAUACAGGCACAGAGAGCCUGUAAGAAGGGCUGAUAGAUUUGCUGCAAUGGAAGUCAUUUGUAGAACCUGGCAAGGAAAACAGAUUUUCUGAUAAGUUCAUUCCCGAGAUAUAUCAGAUUUAUUACAUCUAGAAGGCGGUCACUUUUGGCCUCAUCUAGAAUUAUGGUCUAAUCAAUAGGUAUAGUCAAAUUCAACCGCAUGAGCAAUAAUUGCAGCCUGUUCAACGUUUCACGUUCACGUGGACAUAACUCAACGAAUAGGAGCAGUGAAAAUUAGUACAAUUUGCAAUAAAGAAAAGGGAAAAAACAAAAGUCAAAGCACGUUAUGUCUGAUGCAGAACAGAACUCUGUCCCGACAGAAAAAUAGUAGUAACCUAACCCAUUGACAAACACAACAAAUAAGUAAAGAUACAACAAAUAAGUAAAGAUUGCGCAUUGGCUUUCAAGAGUUUUACUUCUCCUAGUUGUCUUGUUGAACCUGAGAAGAUCAAUGUUCAAACUAAGGUUAAUUAGCGUUGGGGCUGGGCUUUCACCUCGAAAUCUUCGCCUAGUGCCUUAGACCCAACUUGAAAGUGUCAUCGAGUCUAAGUUUUGAUUCUAAUCAGGUACAAUGUCUAUAUAAGAAGUGUCCAAUAUAUAUGUCGAGGCUGAGAUGGCGAUGGCUUUCAUUUCUUGUGAGAAGCUUCUAUACCACUAGGUAGAACAUGUCAUAAAUUUACAUUAGUUACAAUCUAAACUACCUUUGCCAACGUCACAUCUUGCAAGUUACAGCUAGGAAGGACAAAGUUAUCAUAGUGCUGAUUCCUUGUAUAUGUAAUUUCUUUAUUAAAGUUAUUGAUCCUUGUUAAAAUCAAUCUGAGUUAUGUUUUUUUGGGUUACUUAACUUGAUAAGAGUACAAAAUCAAGUAUGUCAAAAUUCUAGGAUUUGCCGAAGGGUAAGAAAACAGAAAGAAUGACACAAUUGAAUGGUGUAUAUAUCGAGGUGUGAUAAAAAGAAUUCGGAUUCAAAAAUUUAUUUGAAAAAAAUUUGAAUUAUAAUUCACUUAAAUUCGAAUCGGUAAAAAGUUAAAAAAUUUAAACUUCAAAUGAUUUUAAUUUCAAAGUUUAAUUUAAAGUAGUAAUAAUUUAAAUUUAACAUUAAAAAUAACAAAUUUUAUCAAUAUUUAUUUUAAUUUAAUAUAUAUCCGAAUUUAAAUUGAUCUGAAUUCAAAACUAUUCAAACUCGUUGUCACCUGAACUCGAAAUGACUUGAUUUGACACUAGUCGUUUGCCGACUCUAAAAAAUAUUCGCAUACAAAUUAGGAGGCAGGCCAGUAGCAUACUGUCUUGCUGCUGUGAUGUGGUUGCUGAUGAUUGCUUGGCGGACAAGGGACAGGUGAGGGAAUUUCCAAGGCCAUAUUACUGUUUACUUCUAAAAGAUAUUCACAAACAAAUCCAUGCGCAGACAGAGUUGAAACAUUUUUGUUUGGCAUAUUAUACUAAUGAUUGAAAUGCUAUCAGUAUAUUGCCUGGAAUUACAUAUUAAAUGUAGCUGAUUUUGUUCAUACUCCCUAUUGAGAACGGGUAAGAUACCUUAUAAUUUCGAAGUAUCCGAACCCUAAUCCUAUAAAAAAUUAAUUACCUUAACUUUAUUAAAUACCCAAAUAAUUUUAAAAUUAUUACCCUAACCCUAUUACAUUUUUACUAUUUUAUAAUUAUUCUAACCCGUUUAAAAAUCCGAUCAGAUUAAAAAAAUUAUUAAAAUCUUCUUAUCCAAUUACUUAAACCAGUAUACAUAUAUAAUAAUAUUUCUCUACGUAUUUCAUAAAAUUAACUACUAAUUAAAUUAAUAAAAAUAAAAUAAUAAAAUUUAAAUUUAAAUAAUCAAAAAUAAAGAUCUUAAAUAUAAACUUAAAUAAUUAAAAAUAAAUAUCCAUACAACGAUAUAAACUUAUAUAAUUAUACCUAAAUAUCCAAAUAAUAACAUAAGCUUAAAUAACUAAAUACAAAUAUCCAAACAAAUAACAUAAACUUAAAUAACAAAAAAUAUAAUUUUUAUAAUGUUAACACAAAAUAAAAAAUAAAUAUAUUUAAAUUUAAAGUAUAUAUACUAAAAGUAUUAUAGUGUAUAUACAAAAUAAUAAUUAUAUUCUUUAUAAAUGACCAAAUGUAUAUUUAAAGUAUAGAUAUUAAAAGACAUUACAAUUUAAUUAAUAAUCAUAAUUUUAUUAAUUAUAUGAAUUNNNNNNNNNNNNNNNNNNNNNNNNNNNNNNNNNNNNNNNNNNNNNNNNNNNNNNNNNNNNNNNNNNNNNNNNNNNNNNNNNNNNNNNNNNNNNNNNNNNNNNNNNNNNNNNNNNNNNNNNNNNNNNNNNNNNNNNNNNNNNNNNNNNNNNNNNNNNNNNNNNNNNNNNNNNNNNNNNNNNNNNNNNNNNNNNNNNNNNNNNNNNNNNNNNNNNNNNNNNNNNNNNNNNNNNNNNNNNNNNNNNNNNNNNNNNNNNNNNNNNNNNNNNNNNNNNNNNNNNNNNNNNNNNNNNNNNGUAUUUUUGGUUUUGAUGAAAAAAAUCUUAUUAUAAUAAAGAGUUUAUUUUUGUAAUUAUAUAUUACAAAAAUUAAUAUUUUAAAAUUAAAAAUUAACCAAAGUUAUUAAUAUUUUACUCAUAGUAAUAUAUAAAUUAUAAAUAAAAUAUUAAUAUUUUAAAAUUUCAAUAAUUAAAUUAUGAAUAAAAUACAAUUAUUUAAAAAUGUUACUAUUUAGAUUAUAAUUAUUUUAAAAAUUUAUAAAUUAUUAAUAUUUUAAAAAUUUAUAAAUUAUUAAUAUUUAAAAAAUAAAAUAAAUAAUAAAUAAUCGUAUAUUAUAAUAAAUGGAAUUAUUGUCUUUUUAUCAUCUAUUCCUUCAUUAUUUCAAAAUUAUUUUUACCAACAAAACAUUGUAAUAAAUCAUAAUAAUAAUUCCAACAUUAUUCUAUUCCAUCAACCAAACUAUAUAAUAACAUUUUCAUUCUAUUCCUAUCCUAUUCUAUUCCCACAAAAUAUAUAUUUUGUUCCAUUUCAUUUUAUUCCGUGAACCAAAUGUGCCCUUAAUAUUUAGUAAGCGGAAAAGAAUGUCAAUGAAUACCUAUUGGCACUGCCAUUCAAAAAACAAUACGAAUUGGCACUAGCAAAAACUAUUAUUUUUUAAAUGUAAUUAAUGCAUCAUUAAUUAUUCCUAGAAAAAGAAUCAUCUUAAUUUGUGAGUUGCAUUAACUAAGAGCUUGUUUGGCUUGACUUUUUUUCUAACUUAAAAGCUAUUAUGAAGCUCUUAUGAAAAAUAAUAACUUUUAAAAUUAUUCUAAAAUUGUUUGGUAAAUUUUUUUAUAAGUUUUUUUUUAUAAGUUAUAAUUUUAGUUAAAAUUAUCAUAAAAAAUAUUUCUUUUUUUUUGAGAGGGUAAUAUUGUAAUUAUUUUUAACAAAUGAGGAUAUUUUUAAAACAAAAAUAAAAAUUUUCUUGUAUUUUUAAAAGAAGAGGAGAAAAAGCUCAUCCUCGGAGCUUUUUUUUAAGCUCUUUUUUUUUUAAAUUUUGUUUUUAAAAAAAAAAUUACUUUUUUUAAGAGCUUAUCAAAAGAUUAUGUUUGACUUAACUUUUGCUUUUAAGAAGUAGAUAAACUGAAAAAAAGUUAAGCCAAACAUACACUAAGGCUAUGGCUUUUGUCAGCUCAUGAAGGAGUCAUAGCUGCAUUGGCUGUAUCACCUGUGAAAAGGGCUGGUUUCUUCUGCCAGUCAUGAUCACAAGUUUGUCAAAUUGUGGAAGUGAUACGAUUGCUAGCAGAAUUCCCAAGUUUUAAUCAGCAACGAUUGUUGGUUUGUAGCUGUUCAGGUUGCUCAAAGGUGUCCAUUUUGUGGUUUGUCCCAAUGUAACUAACCUUGUCUGUUGUAUGCAUGCUAUGCAACCUUGUGUCGUUAAUGGUUAACUUGCACAUUCUUGCUUAAAUUCAUCAACAUUUUCUACAAAAAAAAAAAAUAAAGAAUAAUAAUACUGAAUUGUGACACUACACUUUAAUUGUAUUGAAUUUUGUAAUCAUACUUUUUAUUUCCAUUAGACUCCAUAAAUGAAAUAUUUCAGUAUAACAUUCUUUAAUCUUUAUUUUUCAUUCGAAAAUAACUAAAACAAAACUAGUUAAAAUAAAAUAACAGUGACAAAAUUUAAUGCAAUUGAAACACAAUUGCAAGAUUCAAAUUUGGUAUCUAUCUUAAGAUUUUUAUUCACCAUGCCAUGAGGUUAUUUGGUUCAUGAUAUUCACAAAAUGGCUACAGAAAUUUAGAAGCUGAGAAGCCUUAGAUUGUUUACUAGGAGCAGAGCUAGGAUAUAUCAGGGUUCACCUAGUCCUUGUACUGUAGAUAAAUAGAAUUUUCAAUAUAAAUCAAUAGUAUGCCAUAAUUUAGUAUGAUUUCUAUCAUUUCAUUUAAAUUUUUCCGGGUAGAUUUAUAACUAACGUCAAUCUUUACCAAUAAUGGAGCCAAGGUCUAUGCUCAAUCUGGGCAAAGUCAUUUCUCCUUCUGCAAGUCUCUCUGGUUUGAAAACAUGAACAUCUUCAACCCCAUAUCUCAGGGUCAUGGUGAAGUGCUGGAGUUGUAAUGAACAAUUCAGUAUUUUCUUCUUGGAGAAUUUUGUUACAGAAAAAAAAUAUGCCUGGACAAUCAUACUGAUCUCUGAUCAAGAUCUACAACAAUAUCGGAAUAUAAGAGGAAAUAGUACUCAGAGGAGCACCAUCUUCAUACUUGAUUGCUAAAACAUUUUGUUCCAAUACCAUCAUUUACUAUUACAUGGAUAGAAACAAGGACAAAUUAAUCAACAUCACUGACUGGGGUGAGUUACUGGCUGCGGCCUCUGUAAGCAACUGAUCUACAAGGCAUUAUUCCAUUGACAACUCUAGGCUUCAUUCUACAGAGAAUGAAGUAUUACCUGAAUUCCAUGUUGUGGCUGAAGCAAAAGAAGGGUAAAUGGUGAGUGGCUGUAGGUUGGGGAAAGGGAAAUGUUGUAUCGCUGUAGAAUCAUGGAAAGAGCAAUCUUUGUUUCUGUCAUUGCAAAGCUCAUACCGACACAAGAUCGAGGUCCCAAUCCAAAGGGAACAUAUGCAGCUGCAUUAUGUUUGGUGGCAUUGGCGAUCCCUUCUGCGAAUCUCUCAGGUUUGAAGAGAUUGACAUCAUCUCCCCAUAACUGAGGGUCAUGGUGAAGUGCCAUGAUUGGGACACCCAAAUGUAAAUCAGCUGGCAGGAUGAGCUUUCCCAAUUGAACUUCAUUUUCAACUUUUCUUGCCAUGCCACUUACAGGAGGAUAUAAUCUUAAAGUUUCAUUAAUGAUCAUAGUCAUCUGUAUGCAGCAGAAGAGGAAUAAACAUAUCAAAUCUAUUCUGAUUUUCAAAAAUUCAAUCUACUAAAUGUUCAAUGAUGUGUCCAAGCAAAAUGAUUAGAUUUACUUACAGUCUUUAGUCUGCCAAUGCCUUCAGAAUGUGGAUUUUGGUUACCAAAGACCUUAAUCACCUCUCUUCUUGCUUUCUCCUGCCAAUCUGGAUUGAUUGCUAAAAGCAAGACUGUCCAUGCAAGUGCAGAAUUAGUUGUUUCUUGUCCAGCAAAGUAAAAUGUCUUGCAUUCAUCUACCAAAUCUUGUACUGAUAGCCUGUUCUUCUUGUCUGCAUCAUGGUAAGCACUUACAAGUAAUCCAAGAAAAUCAGUGCCAAAGCUGUUGGCUUCUCCAUUCACUACUUUCUCUUCUCGUUUCUUAACUAUCUCCAUCACAGAAUUGUGUAUUCCUUUUACAAGUUUGUCUGAUUCAAUUUCAUCAGCAGUUUUACGGAAAUUACUGCAAAAGCAAAACAAAUUUCCACCAACAUAUGAAGGCAAAAUAAAACAAAAAUCCACCUAGCUAUACAAGAGUAGUUUAACCAUUUGCGCAAAAGCUGCAUAAUAUGACUUCUAGUUAGUCUCCUUUCUCAUUAAAUCAGAAAUAACCUGAAGAGGAACUUACCUAAUGACAGGAAACUUAGAUUUAAACAUGUUUCUGUUUGUCAAGACAGACAACUUCAACAACAUGUCAAAAAUCUUUUUCCCAUCUAAGUAACUGCUACCAAAAGCUGUCCUUGAUAUGACUUCUGAAGUCAACAACCUAAAUUCUUCAAACACCUCAAUUUCUUUGCCUUCAAGUUGCUUCCACUUUUCCAGCAUCGUCUCUACACUAGCAAUCAGUGCUGGUGUCAUGCUCUGCCAAAACCAUCACCACUCUUAUGAGUAACUUAUACCUUGCCAGGAUUUGGUUCUUCUCUAAUGCAUAAAAUUCACAAAACAUGAUCUGACUAUGAAGUAUCUUACAUCAACACAUCUAUGACAAAAAUAAUUAUAGCAUUUGAUCAGAAGUUUACUUUUAAGCUCUCCCCAUGAAAAGCAUAAUUGGCCAACUUCCUUUGCCUUGCCCAUUUCUGACCUUCGGAUGUCACAAGCCCAUCCCCUAGUAUCUUAAUAGCGAACUCGUCUUCAUUCCUCUUCCUUUCUCUACUUGUCCUUUUUGGAAAAGCUCUUUCACUACUCUUCAACACCUCUUUGACAAGCUCAGGCUCUGUGAUAAUCAGUUGAGCUUUAGUACCUGCCCAAGAAAGAUAGUUUUUCCCUAAUUCCACGGAAACAAAAGAAGGUUAAAUUGUUUCUUAAAAAAGGGUCUUAAAGCAAAAAAAAAAAAAAAGAAAAAAAAGUUGGGGGGGGGUGGGGUGUGGGGGGAGAGAAUUUAAUCUUACCAUAUGAGUUGAUCCAUGAAUAAACUUGAGGAUGGACUCUGGGAAAUAUAUCAUGUGAUAAACUAGUCAUAGGCUUGCUUAAUGCUUCCUGUUUCAUUUUUAUGGUCUCUUUGUUGUUUCCAUGGAUGAAUUUGUAAGGAGGUCCUUUGAUUCCUUGCAAAUUCAUUGCAUACUGUAUCCGAAGUGGUGUCCACCAAUACUUGUGUAGGAUUUUGAUCAGAGCUAUGACCAGAUACAGGCACAGAGAGCCUGUAAGAAGGGCUGAUAGAUUUGCUGCCAUGGAAGAC